UAGCCCAUAUGUUAGUUGAGGAACAGCUUCAAGCUGGUCAUUUAGAGCCUUUGAUCAGCCCUUGGAACACACCUAUCUUUGUAAUUAAGAAAAAAUCUGGUAAUUGGAGAUCAUUACAAGAUCUUAGAGCUAUUAAUGAGGUCAUGGAGCCCAUGGGAGCAUUGCAAUCUGGGCUUUUUUCUCCUAC
rnacentral:sRNA from 1 species